rnacentral:rRNA from 1 species
GAAUUGAAGAGUUUGAUCAUGGCUCAGAUUGAACGCUGGCGGCAGGCUUAACACAUGCAAGUCGAACGGUAGCAGGAAGGAAGCUUGCUUUCUUUGCUGACGAGUGGCGGACGGGUGAGUAAUGCUUG